CGGCGGACGGGUGAGUAACGCGUGGGUGACCUGCCCCAUACCGGGGGAUAACAGCUGGAAACGGCUGCUAAUACCGCAUAAGCGCACAGUACCGCAUGGUACGGUGUGAAAAACUCCGGUGGUAUGAGAUGGACCCGCGUCUGAUUAGGUAGUUGGUGGGGUAACGGCCUACCAAGCCGACGAUCAGUAGCCGACCUGAGAGGGUGACCGGCCACAUUGGGACUGAGACACGGCCCAA
rnacentral:rRNA from 1 species